UACGUAGGGGGCAAGCGUUGUCCGGAUUUAUUGGGCGUAAAGAGCGUGUAGGCGGCCUGACAGGUCUGCUGUGAAAACUCGAGGCUCAACCUCGAGAUGUCGGACGGAAACCGUGUGGCUAGAGUCCGGAAGAGGAGAGUGGAAUUCCUGGUGUAGCGGUGAAAUGCGCAGAUAUCAGGAAGAACACCAAUGGCGAAGGCAGCUCUCUGGGACGGUACUGACGCUGAGACGCGAAAGCGUGGGGAGCGAACAGG
rnacentral:rRNA from 1 species